AGCGAACGCUGGCGGCAGGCCUAACACAUGCAAGUCGAACGAACUCUUCGGAGUUAGUGGCGGACGGGUGAGUAACACGUGGGAACGUGCCUUUAGGUUCGGAAUAACUCAGGGAAACUUGUGCUAAUACCGAAUGUGCCCUUCGGGGGAAAGAUUUAUCGCCUUUAGAGCGGCCCGCGUCUGAUUAGCUAGUUGGUGAGGUAAAGGCUCACCAAGGCGACGAUCAGUAGCUGGUCUGAGAGGAUGAUCAGCCACAUUGGGACUGAGACACGGCCCAAACUCCUACGGGAGGCAGCAGUGGGGAAUCUUGCGCAAUGGGCGAAAGCCUGACGCAGCCAUGCCGCGUGAAUGAUGAAGGUCUUAGGAUUGUAAAAUUCUUUCACCGGGGACGAUAAUGACGGUACCCGGAGAAGAAGCCCCCGG
rnacentral:rRNA from 1 species